CCCAGACUCCUACGGGAGGCAGCAGUGGGGAAUAUUGCACAAUGGGGGAAACCCUGAUGCAGCGACGCCGCGUGAGUGAAGAAGUAUUUCGGUAUGUAAAGCUCUCUCAGCAGGGAAGAUAAUGACGGUACCUGAGUAAGAAGCCCCGGCUAACUACGUGCCAGCAGCCGCGGUAAUACGUAGGGGGCAAGCGUUAUCCGGAUUUACUGGGUGUAAAGGGAGCGUAGACGGCAUGGCAAGUCUGAAGUGAAAGCCCGGGGCUCAACCGCGGGACUGCUUUGGAAACUGUUAAGCUGGAGUGCAGGAGAGGUAAGUGGAAUUCCUGGUGUAGCGGUGAAAUGCGUAGAUAUUAGGAGGAACACCAGUGGCGAAGGCGGCUUACUGGACUGUAACUGACGUUGAGGCUCGAAAGCGUGGGGAGCAAACAGGAUUAGAUACCCUCGUA
rnacentral:rRNA from 1 species